rnacentral:lncRNA from 1 species
CUACUUUAUUUUUAUAGGUGUCUUUAAUUGACUUUUAAGAUUAGAAACGUGGUCAAUAAAUUGGCCAUGUGCCACACAUGUUGGUAGCUUGAAGAACAAGUUAAUUAUAUGGCCCACAUGUAGAAAACUCGCCUUGUAAGCUAAGGCAUGUGUCCCUCAAAGUCAAUACAUAUUAGAGGUCCUAUAGAACAUUGCCAUGUAGCUCCUAAUUAGAUAGUAUAUAUAAAGGCAAGAAUGAAGCCCUCUUCAUUCUUGUCAAUUCUUUUUUUGCUUCUAGUUUAGAUUUAAGAAUCUUUAGUUUUCUUGUCUUUUGGCAAUAGCCAUUCCAGCUUCUUUUUAAUAUACAUACUAUGUCACGGACACAAAAUACAGACUUGAAAUCUAACAAGAAGUUCAAGAAGAAGUGGCAGAACUAGAUUAAACAGAUGAGUACAAGAACAACACCAGAAAGGUGAGCUAGAACUCCAAGAGAUGUGU